rnacentral:rRNA from 1 species
UGCCUAAUACAUGCAAGUCGAACGCGUUGGCCCAAUUGAUUGAUGGUGCUUGCACCUGAUUGAUUUUGGUCGCCAACGAGUGGCGGACGGGUGAGUAACACGUAGGUAACCUGCCCAGAAGCGGGGGACAACAUUUGGAAACAGAUGCUAAUACCGCAUAACAACGUUGUUCGCAUGAACAACGCUUAAAAGAUGGCUUCUCGCUAUCACUUCUGGAUGGACCUGCGGUGCAUUAGCUUGUUGGUGGGGUAAUGGCCUACCAAGGCGAUGAUGCAUAGCCGAGUUGAGAGACUGAUCGGCCACAAUGGGACUGAGACACGGCCCAUACUCCUACGGGAGGCAGCAGUAGGGAAUCUUCCACAAUGGGCGCAAGCCUGAUGGAGCAACACCGCGUGAGUGAAGAAGGGUUUCGGCUCGUAAAGCUCUGUUGUUAAAGAAGAACACGUAUGAGAGUAACUGUUCAUACGUUGACGGUAUUUAACCAGAAAGUCACGGCUAACUACGUGCCAGCAGCCGCGGUAAUACGUAGGUGGCAAGCGUUAUCCGGAUUUAUUGGGCGUAAAGAGAGUGCAGGCGGUUUUCUAAGUCUGAUGUGAAAGCCUUCGGCUUAACCGGAGAAGUGCAUCGGAAACUGGAUAACUUGAGUGCAGAAGAGGGUAGUGGAACUCCAUGUGUAGCGGUGGAAUGCGUAGAUAUAUGGAAGAACACCAGUGGCGAAGGCGGCUACCUGGUCUGCAACUGACGCUGAGACUCGAAAGCAUGGGUAGCGAACAGGAUUAGAUACCCUGGUAGUCCAUGCCGUAAACGAUGAGUGCUAGGUGUUGGAGGGUUUCCGCCCUUCAGUGCCGGAGCUAACGCAUUAAGCACUCCGCCUGGGGAGUACGACCGCAAGGUUGAAACUCAAAGGAAUUGACGGGGGCCCGCACAAGCGGUGGAGCAUGUGGUUUAAUUCGAAGCUACGCGAAGAACCUUACCAGGUCUUGACAUCUUGCGCCAACCCUAGAGAUAGGGCGUUUCCUUCGGGAACGCAAUGACAGGUGGUGCAUGGUCGUCGUCAACUCCUGUCCUCAGAUGUGGGUUAAGUCCCUCAACGACCGCACCCUUGGUACAAAUUGCCACCUUUACUUCGGCAAUCUGUGGAGACUGCCGGUAACAACCCGAAGGAAGGCGGGAGGACGUCAGAUCAAAAUGUCCCUUU